UACGAAGGGGGCUAGCGUUGCUCGGAAUCACUGGGCGUAAAGCGCACGUAGGCGGAUCUUUAAGUCGGGGGUGAAAUCCUGGAGCUCAACUCCAGAACUGCCUUCGAUACUGAGGAUCUCGAGUCCGGGAGAGGUGAGUGGAACUGCGAGUGUAGAGGUGAAAUUCGUAGAUAUCGCAAGAACACCAGUGGCGAAGGCGGCUCACUGGCCCGGUACUGACGCUGAGGUGCGAAAGCGUGGGGAGCAAACAGG
rnacentral:rRNA from 1 species